rnacentral:sRNA from 1 species
CUUUCUGCAGGGGCCUGGCACCAGGGGAAGCUCAGGAGACUACCUGCAAGCCAGGGCCAGACUCUCUGGGCCCGGCUGGGGUAGAGAAGCCCAGGGGUUGGCUGGCAGAGGAAGGGAAGGGUCCGGGGUCGGCUGAGCAUGCCCUCAGGUUGCUCACUGUUCUUCCCUAGAAUGUCAGGUGAUGUGUCACCCCAAGUGCUCCACGUGCUUGCCAGCCACCUGCGGCUUGCCUGCUGAAUAUGCCACACACUUCACCGAGGCCUUCUGCCGUGACAAAAUGAACUCCCCAGGUCUCCAGACCAAGGAGCCCAGCAGCAGCUUGCACCUGGAAGGGUGGAUGAAGGUGCCCAGGAAUAACAAACGAGGACAGCAAGGCUGGGACAGGAAGUACAUUGUCCUGGAGGGAUCAAAAGUCCUCAUUUAUGACAAUGAAGCCAGAGAAGCUGGACAGAGGCCGGUGGAAGAAUUUGAGCUGUGCCUUCCCGACGGGGAUGUAUCUAUUCAUGGUGCCGUUGGUGCUUCCGAACUCGCAAAUACAGCCAAAGCAGAUGUCCCAUACAUACUGAAGAUGGAAUCUCACCCGCAC